GAUGAACGCUGGCGGCGUGCCUAACACAUGCAAGUCGAACGGAGAUUACGGACGGAAGUUUUCGGAUGAAAGACUGUAAUUCUUAGUGGCGGACGGGUGAGUAACGCGUGGGCAACCUGCCCUAUACAGGGGGAUAGCAGCUGGAAACGGCUGGUAAGACCGCAUAAGUCGGCGAGACCGCAUGGUUUUGCCGGGAAAUGAGCAAUCAGGUAUAGGAUGGGCCCGCGUCCGAUUAGCCAGUUGGCAGGGUAAAAGCCUACCAAAGCAACGAUCGGUAGCCGGACUGAGAGGUCGGACGGCCACAUUGGGACUGAGACACGGCCCAAACUCCUACGGGAGGCAGCAGUGGGGGAUAUUGCACAAUGGAGGAAACUCUGAUGCAGCGACGCCGCGUGAGUGAAGAAGUAUUUCGGUAUGUAAAGCUCUAUCAGCAGGGAAGAUGAUGACGGUACCUGACUAAGAAGCCCCGGCUAACUACGUG
rnacentral:rRNA from 1 species